rnacentral:lncRNA from 1 species
CUCAGUAUUUAUGGAGCAAGAUGGUUGGCUCAGUCAGUUUUUCGCACAUGCUCAGUUGGCCCUCAGCUGUUGAAACAGGUGUCUGCUAUCACUUCUUUGAGCACCCAGUUUGCACCAGGCUGUGGUCAUUACUGCCUUGGCUAGACAGCACCAUCAGUUCUGUGCUCAAUGUCUGUCUGUGCAAGACCUCGGGAGUAACAGCCAGGCUGCAAGAGGAAGCUGGCAGGGGAGCACACUAUCACAGCGCUUUAAAAGACAUCAAUGCUAGAGACUGCACCAGACAUGCACUAUGGAAAUAAUACACCUAAAAACUUAGAGAUACCCAUUAUUUGAUUUGUUGAAGUCGACAUGAGCCUGCCUGACAAGCCUAGGCAUAAUUGUGCAGCUUUAAGCAGUGUAAAGCCAUCAUGUUCUUCAGAAGAGACUGCAGAACGCACAGACAGCCUUACACGCUGCAGCCAGGUAAAUGAUCUAGCACUUAACAAUUUUAUUUUUCUUGUUUAACAAAAAUGAUCCCUGACCAGUGUAGCAUGAAUAACCUUCCUCGGGAUACUUUAAAAACAUACCGUAAUAAAAUAUGUAUCCCACUGCA